CAGCCGCCACGGGAAUACGAAGGGGGCUAGCGUUGCUCGGAAUGACUGGGCGUAAAGGGCGCGUAGGCGGAUUGUUUAGUUAGGCGUGAAAUUCCUGGGCUUAACCUGGGGACUGCGCUUAAUACAGGCAGUCUAGAGUGAGGAAGAGGGUUGUGGAAUUCCCAGUGUAGAGGUGAAAUUCGUAGAUAUUGGGAAGAACACCGGUGGCGAAGGCGGCAACCUGGUCCUUGACUGACGCUGAGGCGCGAAAGCUAGGGGAGCAAACAGGAUUAGAUACCCCGGUAGUCCCUGUCUCUUAUAC
rnacentral:rRNA from 1 species